UUGCGGUGAAUAUGUUCCCGGGUCUUGUACACACCGCCCGUCAAACCAUGAAAGUGACCAACACCCGAAGUCCGAUUCGUCGGCCUAAGGUGGGGGGCAUGAUUGGGGUU
rnacentral:rRNA from 1 species